rnacentral:rRNA from 1 species
UACGAGGGGGGCAAGCGUUGUUCGGAAUUAUUGGGCGUAAAGGGCGCGUAGGCGGUGCGGUAAGUCUGAUGUGAAAUCUCCGGGCUCAACUCGGAGUCUGCAUCAGAAACUGCCGUGCUUGAGUGUGGGAGAGGUGAGUGGAAUUCCCGGUGUAGAGGUGAAAUUCGUAGAUAUUCGGAAGAACACCAGUGGCGAAGGCGACUUACUGGACGACCGUUGACGCUGAGGUGCGAAAGCGUGGGGAGCAAACAGG